rnacentral:rRNA from 1 species
GAUGAACGCUGGCGGCGUGCCUAAUACAUGCAAGUCGAGCGAACGGACGAGAAGCUUGCUUCUCUGAUGUUAGCGGCGGACGGGUGAGUAACACGUGGAUAACCUACCUAUAAGACUGGGAUAACUUCGGGAAACCGGAGCUAAUACCGGAUAAUAUUUUGAACCGCAUGGUUCAAAAGUGAAAGACGGUCUUGCUGUCACUUAUAGAUGGAUCCGCGCUGCAUUAGCUAGUUGGUAAGGUAACGGCUUACCAAGGCAACGAUGCAUAGCCGACCUGAGAGGGUGAUCGGCCACACUGGAACUGAGACACGGUCCAGACUCCUACGGGAGGCAGCAGUAGGGAAUCUUCCGCAAUGGGCGAAAGCCUGACGGAGCAACGCCGCGUGAGUGAUGAAGGUCUUCGGAUCGUAAAACUCUGUUAUUAGGGAAGAACAUAUGUGUAAGUAACUGUGCACAUCUUGACGGUACCUAAUCAGAAAGCCACGGCUAACUACGUGCCAGCAGCCGCGGUAAUACGUAGGUGGCAAGCGUUAUCCGGAAUUAUUGGGCGUAAAGCGCGCGUAGGCGGUUUUUUAAGUCUGAUGUGAAAGCCCACGGCUCAACCGUGGAGGGUCAUUGGAAACUGGAAAACUUGAGUGCAGAAGAGGAAAGUGGAAUUCCAUGUGUAGCGGUGAAAUGCGCAGAGAUAUGGAGGAACACCAGUGGCGAAGGCGACUUUCUGGUCUGUAACUGACGCUGAUGUGCGAAAGCGUGGGGAUCAAACGGGAUUAGAUACCCUGGUAGUCCACGCCGUAAACGAUGAGUGCUAAGUGUUAGGGGGUUUCCGCCCCUUAGUGCUGCAGCUAACGCAUUAAGCACUCCGCCUGGGGAGUACGACCGCAAGGUUGAAACUCAAAGGAAUUGACGGGGACCCGCACAAGCGGUGGAGCAUGUGGUUUAAUUCGAAGCAACGCGAAGAACCUUACCAAAUCUUGACAUCCUUUGACAACUCUAGAGAUAGAGCCUUCCCCUUCGGGGGACAAAGUGACAGGUGGUGCAUGGUUGUCGUCAGCUCGUGUCGUGAGAUGUUGGGUUAAGUCCCGCAACGAGCGCAACCCUUAAGCUUAGUUGCCAUCAUUAAGGUGGGCACUCUAAGUUGACUGCCGGUGACAAACCGGAGGAAGGUGGGGAUGACGUCAAAUCAUCAUGCCCCUUAUGAUUUGGGCUACACACGUGCUACAAUGGACAAUACAAAGGGCAGCGAAACCGCGAGGUCAAGCAAAUCCCAUAAAGUUGUUCUCAGCUCGGAUUGUAGUCUGCAACUCGACUACAUGAAGCUGGAAUCGCUAGUAAUCGUAGAUCAGCAUGCUACGGUGAAUACGUUCCCGGGUCU